UACGUAGGCAGCGAGCGUUGUUCGGAGUUACUGGGCGUAAAGCGUGCGUAGGCGGUGUCUUAAGUUUGUUGUGAAAUCUCCCGGCUUAACCGGGAGGGUGCGGCGAAUACUGAGAUGCUGGAGUGCCGGAGAGGUAAGCGGAAUUCCUGGUGUAGCGGUGAAAUGCGUAGAUAUCAGGAGGAACACCUGCGGUGUAGACGGCUUACUGGACGGUAACUGACGCUGAGGCACGAAAGCAUGGGGAGCGAACAGG
rnacentral:rRNA from 1 species